UACGAAGGGGGCUAGCGUUGCUCGGAAUUACUGGGCGUAAAGCGCACGUAGGCGGACUUUUAAGUCGAGGGUGAAAUCCUGGAGCUCAACUCCAGAACUGCCUUCGAAACUGGAAGCCUUGAGUUCGGGAGAGGUGAGUGGAACUGCGAGUGUAGAGGUGAAAUUCGUAGAUAUUCGCAAGAACACCAGUGGCGAAGGCGGCUCACUGGCCCGAUACUGACGCUGAGGUGCGAAAGCGUGGGGAGCAAAC
rnacentral:rRNA from 1 species